UUCGAAACCCUUCCCUCUCAUUCCAGUUCUCCUUUGUCUUCAAUUUUCGAAGGAAAGCACAACCUUAAUACAUCUGAUUUUCAAAGCCAAGCAAAAUGCCUCAUUUUCCUCUGAAUUUUCGAAGCCUCAUCUCCCAUAAACCUCUGAAAUUUUUGAAUCUAGAACCAAUCGAAUCUGAGCAGCCAUGAACCUUGCUCUUUCCUUGAAAUUUUCGAAAAUGGAAGAACAACCCAAGUUUCUGAUUUUCUUGUUCUUUUCGGAAACAAACACAACACAUCAACCCAUUGAAGGUCCUGAACAGAAACGCAACACCUUUCCUCUUCGUUCUUUCUUUCACUGCGUUUUCUUCUAAUUUCUGGUACAUACACAGCAACAAGCAUCAUCAUCUUCCUUUAAUUGACGCUUGACUAUUGAGGCGACAUCAUCGAGGAACCUUUCUAGUUAAUAGCUGCAAAUCGAUCACGGCUCUUUGAAGCGUCUAGUUGUUUGAUUACAGAUCGGAACCGGUCGGGAACGAUGGGUUAGUGGUGUUGAAUAGCGUUCCAAGGAUGUAUAUUGAGCUGAGCACGUGAGAAUUUGUAGUUUUGUAUUAGGUUUUUGGAUAAAUGUAUAUUAGUCUUGGUUGUGUUGGUUAUGUGGGAAUCGAAGUGAAUUGUAUGAUUACUUGUGUUUUAGUUAGAUGUUUGGUUUGAAAAUUAGCUGAGUUAGUUAUGUUGAAAAGUUGGUAUCCCUUUGCUCAA